AAUAGAAUUGCUGGAUCAUAUGGUGACUCUGUUGAAGUGUUUGAGGCACUGCCAAAGCUAUUUUCCAUAGCAGCUGCACCAUUUUAUAUCCCCACUAGCACU
rnacentral:pre_miRNA from 1 species